rnacentral:lncRNA from 1 species
UGGUGGUGGCUAUUGUUGAGACGAUGUCCGUGGCUGCUAUCAUUUCUUCACUGCCAAGCUGUGUAUGAGGUUGCCGGCCAUAGGGCUCUCGGAGCCAUGUUUGGAAAGAAGAGGAGGGGAAUACCCCUAUUUCGAAGAAGAGAAGAGAGUUUCACAUCUCCCUCUCUUCUCUCUAUCUUUCAUUUCUCUCCUAGCUAGAUUAAAGGAUUUGUGGAAGGAGGAUCAGGAGAUUGGUGGGCAGACUCCCGACGAACUGCAAUAGAGAGUUCUAGAUAGAUGAUUUUUAUUUUAUAAAUUUUAUUUAAAUAUAAAUUUAAUUUUAUAGGAAAAUAAAUUUUUGGACAGAAGAAUAUCGAGCAGGAUUCUUGAUAUCUAGAUCAUAAAUCUAGUGAGUUAAAUUGACAGUAGU